CCUACGGGGGACAGCAGUAGGGAAUAUUGCUUAAUGGGGGAAACCCUGAAGCAGCAACGCCGCGUGGAGGAUGAAGGUUUUCGGAUUGUAAACUUCUAUCAAUAGGGAAGAAAGAAAUGACGGUACCUAAAUAAGAAGCCCCGGCUAACUACGUGCCAGCCGCGGCGGUAAUAAGUAGGGGGCAAGCGGUAUCCGGAAUUACUGGGUGUAAAGGGGGAGUAGGCGGCACGGUAAGCGAUAUGUGAAAGCCUUAGGCUUAACCUGAGGAUUGCAUAACGAACUAUCUAGCUAGAGUACAGGAGAGGAAAGCGGAAUUCCUAGUGUAGCGGUGAAAUGCGUAGAUAUUAGGAAGAACACCAGUGGCGAAGGCGGCUUUCUGGACUGAAACUGACGCUGAGGCUCGAAAGCGUGGGGAGCGAACAGGAUUAGAUACCCUGGUAGUC
rnacentral:rRNA from 1 species